UCUAUUUUUCUUAUGCUUUUGAUCCCUCUCUAGACAUGCUUGCUGGCAUCCAGGACAGCUGUUGAAGUAUUUGAAUGUUGGCAGCAUCCCCCAGCAGGAAAAUCAAAUGUGUUCUCCAGAGGACUCCAUUAGGGAAAUAUUUAAUUCUGGCUUCCAUGUAAAAGAGGACAAAUUGCCCUGAAGGAAAGCUCCCAUCUCCUUGUCGUGAUUCAAAAAACAAUACAGAAACACAGAAUAUACUAUGUGCCUACUAUGUGCCAGUUCUGGAGAUACAAAGAAAGAAAAAAAAAAUCAGUCCCUGCUCUCCAGAUGAGUAUGGCCUGUCAGAGCUUACAUUUGGCUGGCCCAUCCUUACAGAACGCACAUACAGAGGAGGAAUCUGUCUGUGGAGGGCCAUCUUGCUCCUGAAGAAAGGUAACCUAGAAAAUGUUGGCAAUUAUUGCCCCGUCAGUCUCCAUCUGCAAAUCUACAAGCUGUUCACACGUACCAUACUUUCAUGCAUUAACAAGGACCCAGAGAAUCUCACCAGUCACAGGCAAGCAGGCCUUUGGCCAGCUUUUCAACCAUCUGUCACAUAUAUGCAGCCCAGCAACAUAAAGAAAAAUGUAAAGAAUACCAAGAGCCCCCAGUCUAUGCAUUUGUGUAUUACUGAAAUGCACUGGACUCGUUGGAAACAAUAACCUUCCAUGUAGUCGUCUUUUAAUGAAUUCGGAUGUAGUUGAAUGAGUGCACCUUGCCUUCAUGAGCACAGAGCUCUGAGUUCACUACCCAUAGUGAAUAUCCAUCACUGCCUCAUGUAGCUUAGCAACCCUUGGAAAAUGUUUCUGAGAACCGGUGGGAAUCCACGUUAACAGAGACCUGCCCAGGGCAUCUGAGUCUGGG
rnacentral:lncRNA from 1 species